rnacentral:rRNA from 1 species
UACGUAGGCAGCGAGCGUUGUUCGGAAUUACUGGGCGUAAAGAGUGUGUAGGCGGUGCUCUAAGUUCGGUGUGAAAUCUCCUGGCUCAACUGGGAGGGUGCGCCGGAAACUGGAGUGCUUGAGCGUGGGAGAGGAAAGCGGAAUUCCUGGUGUAGCGGUGAAAUGCGUAGAUAUCAGGAGGACACCUGUGGUGUAGACGGCUUUCUGGACCAUAGCUGACGCUGAGACACGAAAGCGUGGGUAGCAAACAGG